UUGAAAGGAUUACAAGAUAUCAAAAGUACUGUGAGGUUUAUGAAUAACUUAAAUGACACUCAUCGUGUAAGUGAAUUGAUCAAAAAGAUGAAACGACACAAGGAAGAGAAACCUCUCACUUUGUCAACUGAAUAUGUCGGCUGGAGAUUAGAUGCAAAUAUCAAGAAAGUGUUGAAACUUCUUGAUGAUGACAAAGUCUUUGUCAUUGGGAUAUAUGGAAUGGGAGGAGUAGGAAAAACUUUACUUGCAACUCUUGUGGAAAAUGAAGUAAAGAGGAAAACAACUUUCAAGGAUGUGUUUUGGGUCACUGUUUCUGACAUCACUAACAUCUCAAAAUUGCAACAUGAUAUUGCAAAAAGAAUAGGUAUAAAGCUUGAUGAAGACGAUGAGAGAAUUAGAGCAUACCAUUUGUCUUCCGCAUUGGAGAAAAAAGAAAAAUCAGUUCUUAUUCUGGAUGAUGUUUGGAGAUACAUUGAUUUAGAAAAGGUGGGAAUUCAUCCAAAAGUGAAUGGCAUUAAAGUGAUUAUGACAACACGUUUGAAAUAUGUAUAUCUCCAGAUGGAUUGUCAGCCAUAUGCUAUAAUACAAGUGGAUCCUCUCAGUUGGCAUAAUAUAAAUAAAGAUGAAAAUCUGGAAUUGUUUAAGCUAAAACUCGGACAUGAUGGAACACCCAAGACACUUCCACAUGAAAUAGAAAAGAUUGCAAGAUGUAUUGUAGAGAGAUUUCAUGGUUUACCUCUUGGAAUUAGUGUGAUGGCUNNNNNNAUGGGACCAGAGGUGGAAGAAGAAGUCUUCAAGGUAUUAAAACUUAGCUAUGAUAAUUUGAUGGAAAAAGACUUGCAAAACAGUUUUUUGUAUUGUGCAUUAUUAUUAUCUGAUUCGGAUAAGGAUAAAGAGAUCAUGAGGCUAGUUGACUUUGGACAGAUGAAUAAGAAUAUGUAUUUGGAAGAAAUAUUCGAUGAAUGGAAUGCCAUAUUGAAGAAGCUUCAAUCCCAUUCUUUGAUCAGUAUUUAUGAGAAUAAACGGAUAUUCAUACAUCACUUGGUGAGAAGUAUGGCCUGUUAUAUCAUGAAAGAGAGUCAGAGGAAUGUCAUAGUGGAAUUGAAUGAGAGAUUCACCAAAAUACCUGUCUCGUUUGGAUGUGCAACUGAUUUAGAGUUUGUUCAUAUUCGGAAUUGUGUUAUAGUAGAAAUCUCAGAGGAUCUGUCUCCAAAUUGUCGAAAGUUGUCCACCUUAAUUAUAAAUAAAGUUUCCAUUAAUCAUGUUCCAGAGAGUUUUUUCAAAUAUAUGAAUAGUCUAUCAAUAUUGGAUCUAUCCUUUAAUGAAAGUCUAGUAUCUUUGCCAAACUCCAUCACUAAUUUGAGGUCACUUGUUUCUUUAAUGUUAAAAGGAUGUCGUGCGUUGAAACAUGUGCCCCCAUUGGGAGAACUACAAGCAUUGUCAAGAUUGGUCAUUUCAAAAACUUCCAUUGAGGAAGCACCACAAGGCUUAGAAAAAUUAAACAAUUUGAAAUGGCUUGAUCUAUCCAAAAAUGAAAGAUUGGAUUUGGAAUUAGGGUCUUUCUCAUCCUAUUUGACCAAAUUGCAAUACCUCGAUCUCCGAAACACUCGUGCUGUUAUUAAGGUUGAAGAUGUUCAAAGGAUGAAGAUACUGGAAUGUUUUCGAGGUGCCAUUGACUGCAAUCAAUUCAUGCAAAACAAUCUUGAUAUGAGUUUUGGGCUCAUCAAAACAUAUCAUCUCAUAUUAGGAAAUGUAUGUGGUAAAAGUGAGUGGAAGAGUUGUUCUAAUUUGACUCGUGGUGAUUUUAAAAAUAGGUGUAUAGAAUUCCAAGAUUGUGAUCGUUUCAGCCACAUACUACCUAAAGACCAUACUCUUCUGCUUAUAUACAAGAAUAAUCAUUGGGUUUGGUUAUGUGAUGUUCUUUCAUAUAGCACUUCUUCUUCUGUAAGGACAAUACAAAUUAGUUAUUGUGAUAAACUAGAGAGCUUGUUUUGUUUAUCUGGUUCUUGUUCCUUUUGCACCAAGAUUCACAAGCUGGAAAUUUUGUCUCUUUCACAAUUGAAAAGUUUAACUGUCAUCUGUAAAGACGUUGUUGAUGUUGGACAAUCUUUGUCACCGGUUGGCAUAUUCUCUUGCCUAAAAGAAAUUAACAUUUCUUUUUGCAAUUUGAUAGANNNNNNNNNNNNNNNNNNNNNNNNNNNNNNNNNNNNNNNNNNNNNNNNNNNNNNNNNNNNNNNNNNNNNNNNNNNNNNNNUGAAAGAGAUAUUUGCAGUGAGUAACAAUGAUGACAAUGACAAUUCCAUCAUUACACUUCCCAAGUUGACCAGAUUGGAGUUGAAAGAUUUACCAGAAUUGAAGAUUGUGUGCAAAGGGAUUAUACACUGUGAAUCUUUACCGGAAGUGGACAUCGGUUUCUGCCCAUGGUUAGAUAGGCGCUCAACAAUAGAAAGAUUUAAGAGUCCUUAUUUCUGAUUUAAGAAGUACACUUUUGAUGAAUUUGAAUAGACAAAUAUAUGAAACAAGUAACAUGAAUUAUCAGGUGUGAACGGUAGCGGUCAUAACAGAAGUGUUUGUGAAAGUGAGAUUAAUCAAUUGGUUCGUGAUUUAGAUUUUGAGAAAAAUGAUAUUGCGAAACAACUUCAAUGUUUGGAGUCUCGUAGAAAAAAGCGCAAGUUUGAAGUUGAUUUUUGGUUGGAAGAAUUACAAGAUAUCAAAGAAAGUGUGAGGCAUAUGAAUAACUUAAAUGAUACUCAUCAUGUAAGUGAAUUGAUCCAAAAGAUGAAACGACACAAGGAAGAGAAACCUCUCACUUUGUCAACUGAAUAUGUCGGCUGGAGAUUAGAUGAAAAUAUCAAGAAAGUGUUGAAACUUCUUGAUGAUGACAAAGUCUUUGUCAUUGGGAUAUAUGGAAUGGGAGGAGUAGGAAAAACUUUACUUGCAACUCUCG
rnacentral:lncRNA from 1 species